rnacentral:rRNA from 1 species
UAGGGAAUCUUCCGCAAUGGACGCAAGUCUGACGGAGCAACGCCGCGUGAGUGAAGAAGGCUUUCGGUUCGUAAAACUCUGUUGUUAGAGAAGAACAGCGCAUAGAGUAACUGUUAUGCGUGUGACGGUAUCUAACCAGAAAGCCACGGCUAACUACGUGCCAGCAGCCGCGGUAAUACGUAGGUGGCAAGCGUUGUCCGGAUUUAUUGGGCGUAAAGCGAGCGCAGGCGGUCAAUUAAGUCUGAUGUGAAAGCCCCCGGCUCAACCGGGGAGGGUCAUUGGAAACUGGUUGACUUGAGUGCAGAAGAGGAGAGUGGAAUUCCAUGUGUAGCGGUGAAGUGCGUAGAUAUAUGGAGGAACACCAGUGGCGAAGGCGACUCUCUGGUCUGUAACUGACGCUGAGGCUCGAAAGCGUGGGUAGCAAACAGG